AAUGGCAAAUGAUGUAAACACAGUUUUAUGCUUAACCCUGAAAUAUUAUGUGGACUCAAUGAGUCAAUCUCCGCUUAUUAUCUGAUGCCAUU